rnacentral:rRNA from 1 species
ACGCUCGACACCUACGGGAGGCAGCAGUCGGGAAUAUUGCGCAAUGGAGGAACUCUGACGCAGUGACGCCGCGUAUAGGAAGAAGGUUUUCGGAUUGUAAACUAUUGUCGUUAGGGAAGAAAAAAGACAGUACCUAAGGAGGAAGCUCCGGCUAACUACGUGCCAGCAGCCGCGGUAAUCUGAGCGGGCUGGCAAGGC